GGGUCAGUAGGUUGGUCGUGCCACCGGUACGUACUGGUCUCACUGAUUCCUCCUUCCUGAAGAAUCGUAAUGCCAUUAAUUUGGUGUUGCGGGGAAACAGGACUGUUACUUUGAAAAAAUUAGAGUGUUUAAAGCAAGCUAACGCUUGAAUACAUUAGCAUGGAAUGAUGAAAUAGGACGAUCGAUCCUAUUUUGUUGGUUUCUAGGAUUGACGUA
rnacentral:rRNA from 1 species